UGUAGUCUCAAUGAUGAUGCAUACAUGUCAACGAUGGGUGUUGGCUCCAACAAUUCGCAUUGGUCUUAAACCAAUGACAUGCAUUUUCAAGACCAUGAGUUCGAGAUGGACGAGGAGGGUGAGGGCAUUGUCGACGCACCGAAAGGAAGAGCGGGCAAUUACACCAACACCGAUGACAUCUUACUAUGAAUUACUUGGUUGCAAGUGUCGAGGGAUCCAUCCAUUGGAGGUGAUCAAAGUAGAGAUGCUUAUUGGAACCGGAUGAAGGAACACUUUGAUGCUCGCAACGUGAGUGGAAUUAACCGCUCCAACAGAUCACUUAGGUCCCGAUGGUCGACAAUCAACUCGGAUUGUCAAAGGUGGGCGGCUUGUCAAAAGUCGGUUGACAAGUUGAACCCAAGUGGCAUAAAUGAGGACGAUAGAGUAAAUGCCAUUUCAUCUUACAUGUUGGUGCUAAACUUGCUUUGUUUUGCUUGUUGUUGGUGCUAA
rnacentral:rRNA from 1 species